GCCAUGGGCGCAAGCCUGAUGCAGCGACGCCGCGUGAGGGAUGACGGCCUUCGGGUUGUAAACCUCUUUCAGUACCGACGAAGCGCAAGUGACGGUAGGUACAGAAGAAGCACCGGCCAACUACGUGCCAGCAGCCGCGGUAAUACGUAGGGUGCGAGCGUUGUCCGGAAUUACUGGGCGUAAAGAGCUCGUAGGCGGUUUGUCGCGUCGUCUGUGAAAACCCGCAGCUCAACUGCGGGCUUGCAGGCGAUACGGGCAGACUUGAGUACUGCAGGGGAGACUGGAAUUCCUGGUGUAGCGGUGAAAUGCGCAGAUAUCAGGAGGAACACCGGUGGCGAAGGCGGGUCUCUGGGCAGUAACUGACGCUGAGGAGCGAAAGCGUGGGUAGCGAACAGGAUUAGAUACCCUGGUAGUCCACGCCGUAAACGGUGGGCGCUAGGUGUGGGUUUCCUUCCACGGGAAUCCGUGCCGUAGCUAACGCAUUAAGCGCCCCGCCUGGGGAGUACGGCCGCAAGGCUAAAACUCAAAGGAAUUGACGGGGGCCCCGCACAAGCGGCGGAACAUGUGGAUUAAUUCGAUGCAACGCGAAGAACCUUACCUGGGUUUGACAUACACCGGACCGCCCCANANAUGGGGUUUCCCUUGUGGUCGGUGUANAGGUGGUGCAUG
rnacentral:rRNA from 1 species